CGGGCCUACGGGAGGCAGCAGUGGGGGAUAUUGCACAAUGGGGGAAACCCUGAUGCAGCGACGCCGCGUGGGCGAAGAAGUAUUUCGGUAUGUAAAGCCCUAUCAGCAGGGAAGAAGAAAUGACGGUACCUGAGUAAGAAGCACCGGCUAAAUACGUGCCAGCAGCCGCGGUAAUACGUAUGGUGCAAGCGUUAUCCGGAUUUACUGGGUGUAAAGGGAGCGUAGACGGCUGCGCAAGUCAGAAGUGAAAGCCCGGGGCUCAACCGCGGGACUGCUUUUGAAACUGUGUAGCUAGAGUGCAGGAG
rnacentral:rRNA from 1 species